rnacentral:tRNA from 1 species
GCGGCUAUGGUCCAGCCUGGCUAGGACGAGGGCCUUCCAAGCCUUUAAGCCGGGUCCAAAUCCCGGUAGCCGCACCA